ACGCACGCUGGCGGCGUGCUUCACCCCUGCCAGUCGCACGGAAAGGCCCUGCUUUUGUGGGGUGCUCGAGUGGCGAACGGGUGAGUAACACGUGAGUAACCUGCCCUUGACUUUGGGAUAACUUCAGGAAACUGGGGCUAAUACCGGAUAGGAGCUCCUGCUGCAUGGUGGGGGUUGGAAAGUUUCGGCGGUUGGGGAGGGACUCGCGGCUUAUCAGCUUGUUGGUGGGGUAGUGGCGUACCAAGGCUUUGACGGGUAGCCGGCCUGAGAGGGUGACCGGCCACAUUGGGCCUGAGAUACGGCCCAGACUCCUACGGGAGGCAGCAGUGGGGAAUAUUGCACAAUGGGCGGAAGCCUGAUGCGGCAGCGCCGCGUGCGGGAUGACGGCCUUCGGGUUGUAAACCGCUUUCGCCUGUGACGAAGCGUGAGUGACGGUAAUGGGUAAAGAAGCACCGGCUAACUACGUG
rnacentral:rRNA from 1 species